rnacentral:misc_RNA from 1 species
GAUGAAGAACGCAGCGAAAUGCGAUAAGUAAUGUGAAUUGCAGAAUUCAGUGAAUCAUCGAAUCUUUGAACGCACAUUGCGCCCGCCAGUAUUCUGGCGGGCAUGCCUGUUCGAGCGUCAUUUCAACCAUCAAGCCCCCGGGCUUGUGUUGGGGACCUGCGGCUGCCGCAGGCCCUGAAAACCAGUGGCGGGCUCGCUAGUCACUCCGAGCGUAGUAGUUACAUCUCGCUCAGGGCGUGCUGCGGGUUCCGGCCGUUAAAAGCCUUUACCCCAAGGUUGACCUCGGAUCAGGUAGGAAGACCCGCUGAACUUAAGCAUAUCAAUAAGCGGAGGA